AACGCGAAGAACCUUACCAGGCCUUGACAUCCCNGUGACCGUCCNGUAAUGNCGACNUNUCUUCGGAGCACCGGUGACAGGUGGUGCAUGGUUGUCGUCAGCUCGUGUCGUGAGAUGUUGGGUUAAGUCCCGCAACGAGCGCAACCCCUAUGUUCAGUAGCCAGCAGGUAAGGCNGGGCACUCUGGACAGACUGCCGGGGAUAACCCGGAGGAAGGCGGGGAUGACGUCAAAUCAUCAUGCCCCUUACGGCCUGGGCUACACACGUGCUACAAUGGCGUAAACAAAGGGAAGCGAGAGGGUGACCUGGAGCGAAUCCCAAAAAUAACGUCCCCAGUUCGGACUGUAGUCUGCAACCCGACUACACGAAGCUGGAAUCGCUAGUAAUCGCGAAUCAGCAUGUCGCGGUGAAUACGUUCCCGGGUCUUGUACAC
rnacentral:rRNA from 1 species